UAUAAAAGCCAGUAGUAUACAAUUUUGAUAACUUGACAAUUAUUACAGUAAAAUAAUAUAAAAUUAACAUUUAACAGUACAUUGGCUAUUUUGCUAUAUAAUGAAGCCAGCCUCCAAAAUAAAAGUGAUUACCAUUUUUACAGUUGGUACUGAUUUGGAGUUUAAAGUAGAGAGAAGAUUGUAAAAAUAUUUUAAUAUUUCAUAUUUUUCAUGAUGUGUACGUAUUGUUUGUAUGCAUAAACAUAGUAAAUAAUUGUUUGAUAGUAUGACAUACAUUAACGCAAAUUAGGGGUAGCUGGGCAGGAGGCAUAGCCCUCCAUCCCACCAAAAAAAGUAUAACUUAUGACUUCACUACUUACCUAAUACAUUGAAAUAUCCACUAUAGACCUGAGCUUCUGACCCCAUCUCUAAAAUUUAAAACACUUUUUGCGCCUAUAAUUGACAUAGGAAAAUGGAAAUACAUUUCAAUAUCUUUAUUUUUAUACAUCGUAAAUUAUAUGCUUUUAACUUUUAGUUAGAGUUACAAUACCUACAUUGUAGAUUUAAUUCAAAUUAUAUAACUUAUACCCAUAAGUAUUAGGAUUUACGAGUAGUAUAGCCGUAUAGGAAUGACCCCAGUCCCCAAUUCUAGACAAAAUGAGGGACUUAGCCGGAGUCACUCAGGUCACUCAAGGAGAAUAGGUUAAGACGGUUCAAUUGUUUUAUGAUGAGAGGUGACUCCGUAGCAUUGACAGUAGUUGGUAUAGAAAUAAAUCUAGAAAAAGGUGGUAAUUUAUUAGGAGGGUCGUAGAAGAGAUGUUUAAACUGAAUAGAAAAUUACACAAAAAUAGAUCAGGUGAUUUUAAGAGUUGUGAGGGGGAAGCCUUAUGGAAGUGUAGAUAGGUCGUAGGACAACCAUAUUAUAGUUAGAGGCGCUCGAAGUGUGAAAAGAAAAACUUAUAUUUUCCUAUGUCCAUUAUAGAAAUAAUGCACAAAAAAUUACGGUAUAAUAUACUUAUGGCUCUGACACUUUAGAGUGCGUAUUUAUUUGUGUUCGGGUUAGGAUUUUAAAAAAUCCCAGUGUAGUUAGUUGCAGUUGACAUUAAAAACAUCAGAUGUGUAUUACACAUCAGUUUGAUCCAAUGAGUUUCAGUAUCGAUCGUAACGAGAUAAUACAAUGAAAUGGUUCCAAUUGUUUCAAAUAACCGAUUAAUGCAAUGUUUUAAUAUACAGCCGGUGCUUCCCUAUUUUAUUUCAUUACCUAACUCGAUUGUAUCAAUUAUCCGUGUUUAAUAAGUAAUACUGUAAUAGGUGGCGUAUAUUGUAUUACGUAACUACAAGCUAGUCUACGAGGUCUGCAAAAUUGUAUGUGACAAUGAUAUGGGUGGGGGCUGGGGAAUCGAUGUAUUAUGUUGGUUCUUACAUCUAAACAUCUAACGUGGUCCGCCGAUGUUCACCAUUGUUGUCACACAAUUUGGAAGUUCGAAAGAAAUAAUUUACAUACAUGUUCAUUUGACAGUGGUGCAAAUAAGUUUCAUUCACAGGGAGGGACUGAGGGAGGGAACAAAUACCAAUUUAUCCACCAUCAUUAAUCACCUACAACACCAAAUGGCAAAUAUGUCAUUCAUUGCUUUAUGAGUUAAUUAUACAAUAUUACAUAAUUUACAAUAUAAGUACCAUACAGUAUACACCACACAAACUGACUUGUAUACCUAUAAUAUUAGUAUAUUACCUACCACCUAAAACCUAAUUAAUUCUUAACAUUUUAUUGUAUAAAUGUUAUUUUUUAUAAUUGUUGUACAAAAAGCCAGUAAAAAAAACCUAAUUAAAUAUUGUGGAGGGCAAGUCCCCCUUCCACCUUUAUCCUGAAAAUAUGUGCUACUAAUAUGUUAUAACUUAUAAUAAUUCGCCUUACGUAUAGGUAACUGUAUUAGUAAGUUUUAUGAGUUUAACGUAUAUGUAGAUAAAAAGAACUCGGUAGUUCUCCCUGCUACCAGUGCCUACAAGAAAUAUUAAAUUGCACGAUGAGUCGAUGGAGAUAUAUUCUAUACAUGACUAUUAUUUCAUAGUGUAGAUAUUCAUAAUUGUAUUUCAUUGUAUUCAUUAUCGUAAUAAGUUAUAAAUUUAUAAAUUAUAAUAUUAUCUUAGUUUAUGCCUCCCAACCACCACUGUAAAUUUAUUUUGUCACACACUUGCACCUCCUACCCAAGGCAAGUUCAUUUUUAUUUUCUGCUAAGAAUGUGGCUAAUAUCAAUGGCUAGAAUUAUUAUUCCCAUAUUAGUAAAGGUAGGUAUACAGUUUACUACUGAAAAGUCCGGUAGAUACAUAUAAUUAGGUAAAAGGAAAAUGUUGGUGUGAUGCACAAUCAAACUUCCAAUUAGUAUAAAUAUAAAUUGUAACAAUGAUUUACCUGACGAAAUUAAUCUUGCAGGUGCCAAUAUUGGUAAGAUAUUCUCAAAAUAUAUAUUAUUUUAAAUACCUACCUACCUACUGAGUUUUUUUUAAAUUUAAACUUUGUUAUUACAAUUAGUUUCAACAGUUAAGUAUUAACAAGGAAGAUCAAAACAUGAGUAAUACGAUAUAAGUUAUUUAAAAAAAUACUAGAAGAAAUUAAAUUAAAAAGCCUGGUUGGUUAAAAAAAUAUAAUAUAUUAUCAUUAUUUUUUGCUGACAAGAGAUGAUAUUUUUGGUGUUGAAAGGGUUGUUGGAGGUGUUGAAAAGAUAAUAGGUGGUUACGUGGGAGUGAUAGACUGGGGCAGUUGAAAUAGUUGAAUAUGAGGUGGGUUAUGUCACAAACCUGAAACUAUUGGGUCAUUGUGGAGUACAGGGGGGAGAAUCGUUUAAUAAAUAUCUACCUAUUGUUAUACAUACAUAUAUACCGGAAUUUUUUUAGUUAAGCUACCCAGUUUAACUGAAUAAUUAAUACUGAAUUAAGAUGAGAAAUCAUAAUAAAAUAUUAUGUAUGUGAUGGUCAUGAAUCAGGGCUCGGGACUUUAUGCAUUUGCAUAUUUGUUCGGGAAGUAAAUAGAAUAAAACUGAUCCGAUACAAAUUUGUGUUGUGGUAUUUAGAGUUAAAGUUUAAAAGUUUAUUGUGCAUAUGUUUGCAUAUUUUGGAAUUUUUUUCUACAAAUGCAUAUUUUUAAUAUUUAUUGAUUUUUAUUGCAUAUUUUAAAAUAACUUUUGAUUAUUUACUCUUAAAUCAUAAUGUAUUGAAGAAAAAUGUUGGUCUUGCUAUGCUAAAGAAAAUUAAAAACAUUCUUAACGGUGAAUUAAUUGACAUGAAAGACUUACCAGAAGACUUAGAUAUUAAUGAUCUGACAUAUUUUAAAUAUGCUCCCAUCACAUCGGUAAACGUAGAAAGAUCAUUUUCCGCCUAUAAAACUUUACUUACAAAUAAUAGAAGGUCUUUCAAAGUCGAGAACAUAAAAAAACAUUUGAUAAUCCAGUGUAACGCAAGUAUAGAAGAUGCUGAGUGUUGAAAAAUCCAAAGACCUCCCAUUCAACAGUUUUUACAUUUUUUUUUUUAGUAAUAUAG